CCACAUUACCAGCAAUAGUUAAGUGUAAUAUUCUGCCUAUUUAAGCAUUUGAGAUGUUUUACUACAAAGUUUGUGCAUUUCACCUGAGGACUAAGAUGGAGGCCUGUGGGGCGUUCAAGUAUAUUAUCACUGUAUGAUGGAAAUGAUCGCCUUCACUUGAAUUUCCUGCUUGCUCAGUCCAGUCUCUACUGCCACAUCGCAGGACAGGAAAAACAACAGGGAGAUACUCCAUCUGCACAGUGGGAAAAAACUUCUAACUGUGCAAUUCUAUCUUACUUUCUUAUGUUUAUCCUGUGUGAUGUGGAUUAUGAGAUCUGUUCUGUCGCUUAUUCAGAAAGCUAUUUAUUUAUUUUUUUACUUUGAAUCAGCCACAGAAAGCACCAUGUAAAAAUAAGCUCAUGUAAAUCUAUUUUUUUACAGUGUAAAUUAACUUGAAGCAUAUUUGUCUGCUCAUGUGACAAAGGCUAUUAAAACAAUUAAUACUCAUA